GAUGAACGCUGGCGGCGUGCCUAAUACAUGCAAGUCGAGCGAACAGACGAGGAGCUUGCUCCUCUGACGUUAGCGGCGGACGGGUGAGUAACACGUGGAUAACCUACCUAUAAGACUGGGAUAACUUCGGGAAACCGGAGCUAAUACCGGAUAAUAUAUUGAACCGCAUGGUUCAAUAGUGAAAGACGGUUUUGCUGUCACUUAUAGAUGGAUCCGCGCCGCAUUAGCUAGUUGGUAAGGUAACGGCUUACCAAGGCAACGAUGCGUAGCCGACCUGAGAGGGUGAUCGGCCACACUGGAACUGAGACACGGUCCAGGCUCCUACGGGAGGCAGCAGUAGGGAAUCUUCCGCAAUAGGCGAAAGCUUGACGGAGCAACGCCGCGUGAGUGAUGAAGGUCUUCGGAUCGUAAAACUCUGUUAUUAGGGAAGAACAAAUGUGUAAGUAACUAUGCACGUCUUGACGGUACCUAAUCAGAAAGCCACAGCUAACUACGUG
rnacentral:rRNA from 1 species